UUGUUGAAGAAAAAACAAGAAAAAAUAAUUGGAAGUUAAAAAAGGACAUAGUGACGGCUGACAUAGUAAUUACCGUUUAAUGCUGCAUCGAAAUCAGAUUGAUUUUCGUUAGAAUUCAGCAUCAGAGACUCAUGAUUAGGGUUGCACAUACAACUACAUAGCAACGAAUACGACAUAAUGAUUAAGGAUGAUACUUAAUGACAAGGGUAAGAUAAAUUAAAACGUGAAAACGAUGACCCAUCAAACGGUCACGAAAACACUCAAUCAAAUUGAUUUCUUUUUAGUUUAACCAAUAUUUUUUCCUUUUUGUUUAAAAAUGUUUGACCAAAUUGUUAUGGGCUCAAUGCUUUAAUCACCAUGGCAAUGGCCAAUGGUCCUAGAAGAACUUGAUUAAUGUGUUCUUACCCAACAUCAU
rnacentral:lncRNA from 1 species